UAUAUGCUCAUUUUCUUUACUUUUGCUGGGGCUGAAAUGCAUUAUGAAACAAUAAGCUAGGUACCUUUUUUAAAAAAAAAUGAAAUAUGGAUAGUAAUAUAUUUUAUCUUUUUCUUUUUUUUUUUUUUUUUUUUUGUGAAAAGGUAAGAAAAAUUAAUCAUUAGGAAGCCCUUCCAAAAACGAGGGAAAUUUCUAAUGUAAUAUAUUCGUAAUGUUUGUUUAUAGGAUACCCUAAUUCAAUCCAUUUCAAAAAUCAUUAUUGUUAUUGUGUAACUCCCAUUAUCUAAUCUCACGGUAACAAUACAUCAUAGUCAAUAAUGCCAAUCAUCGAUAAUUAAUUUUUUUUUUUUUUUUUUUUUUUUUUGGGUUCAUAUCAAUGAGGUACCUCUGAACUUAUGUGAGAAUAAUGUCGUUAAUCCAAUGCUUGCUCUGGCUGGGAAAAUUCUGGGUAAUGAUGAAUCCCUUCCAGGAUCAAUUAGAUGCUUGGUUAGAGUAAAACUCCACAUUCAUGUUUGUAUUGGCUGGAUCUAGCUGAAAACAAGCUUACUGGAACAUUACCUGUCUCAAAUGGGACUAAACCAAGUCUUGAAAUGCUGCAUAGUUGUAAGCACUUGUAUGUCUGACACAUUUAUUUUUUGAUUUGAAAAUUUCUUGAAUUCUUUAUCGAAUUUCACCAUUAUUGUAUUGCCCUCUUUCAAUCUUUUAAUUUUCAAUUUCUUGUUGUUUGUCUAUUGAUUGCCACUUUGCCAGUCACUUUGGAAGAUAUCAACUCUCUGGCUCAAUUCCACCUCAACUACUCCAUGAAAAUAUGACACUUGCUUAUUCAUUUGUGCAUGGGGAGCUAAAUGGAGCUGAAGCAUAGUAACUAGCUAGCCAUUUAACAAAUGGUGCAUAUAUGUUGGCGUCUCUUAUUCAAGCUCAACUUUGUGAAGAUUUGGAAAUUCCGGCUCAUAUAUAUGUUGAAAAUUUGUAUUUUGGAGGAUUAAAUUAAUUAUAUAACUUUUAUUUAUUAUUAGUAGGGUGUCAUACAAAAAACAAGCAACUAAUAUUUUAUAAUGUACGUAUUUAGCAUUAUAAUUAUUUUAUAUAAA